rnacentral:rRNA from 1 species
AUUGAACGCUGGCGGAAUGCUUUACACAUGCAAGUCGAACGAUGAAGUCUAGCUUGCUAGACGGAUUAGUGGCGAACGGGUGAGUAAUAUAUCGGAACGUAUCCAAUAAUGGGGGAUAACUAGUCGAAAGAUUGGCUAAUACCGCAUACGUCCUACGGGAGAAAGCUGGGGAUCGUAAGACCUGGCGUUAAUGGAGCGGCCGAUAUCUGAUUAGCUAGUUGGUGAGGUAAAGGCUCACCAAGGCGACGAUCAGUAGCUGGUCUGAGAGGACGACCAGCCACACUGGAACUGAGACACGGUCCAGACUCCUACGGGAGGCAGCAGUGGGGAAUUUUGGACAAUGGGCGAAAGCCUGAUCCAGCCAUUCCGCGUGAGUGAAGAAGGCCUUCGGGUUGUAAAGCUCUUUCGCAAGGGAAGAACACUUACUUAAUAACACUAAGUGAGGUUGACGGUACCUUGAUAAGAAGCACCGGCUAACUACGUGCCAGCAGCCGCCGCCGUAA